UUAAGCGACUAAGCGUACACGGUGGAUGCCCUGGCAGUCAGAGGCGAUGAAGGACGUGCUAAUCUGCGAAAAGCGUCGGUAAGGUGAUAUGAACCGUUAUAACCGGCGAUGUCCGAAUGGGGAAACCCAGUGUGAUUCGUCACACUAUCGUUAACUGAAUACAUAGGUUAACGAGGCGAACCGGGGGAACUGAAACAUCUAAGUACCCCGAGGAAAAGAAAUCAACCGAGAUUCCCCCAGUAGCGGCGAGCGAACGGGGAGCAGCCCAGAGUCUGAAUCAGCUUGUGUGUUAGUGGAACGGUCUGGAAAGUCCGACGGUACAGGGUGAUAGUCCCGUACACCAAAAUGCACAGGUUGUGAACUCGAAGAGUAGGGCGGGACACGUGGUAUCCUGUCUGAAUAUGGGGGGACCAUCCUCCAAGGCUAAAUACUCCUGACUGACCGAUAGUGAACCAGUACCGUGAGGGAAAGGCGAAAAGAACCCCGGCGAGGGGAGUGAAAAAGAACCUGAAACCGUGUACGUACAAGCAGUGGGAGCACCUUCGGGUGUGACUGCGUACCUUUUGUAUAAUGGGUCAGCGACUUAUAUUCUGUAGCAAGGUUAACCGUAUAGGGGAGCCGCAGGGAAACCGAGUCUUAACUGGGCGUUAAGUUGCAGGGUAUAGACCCGAAACCCGGUGAUCUAGCCAUGGGCAGGUUGAAGGUUGGGUAACACUAACUGGAGGACCGAACCGACUAAUGUUGAAAAAUUAGCGGAUGACUUGUGGCUGGGGGUGAAAGGCCAAUCAAACCGGGAGAUAGCUGGUUCUCCCCGAAAGCUAUUUAGGUAGCGCCUCGUGAACUCAUCUUCGGGGGUAGAGCACUGUUUCGGCUAGGGGGUCAUCCCGACUUACCAACCCGAUGCAAACUACGAAUACCGAAGAAUGUUAUCACGGGAGACACACGGCGGGUGCUAACGUCCGUCGUGAAGAGGGAAACAACCCAGACCGCCAGCUAAGGUCCCAAAGUCAUGGUUAAGUGGGAAACGAUGUGGGAAGGCACAGACAGCCAGGAUGUUGGCUUAGAAGCAGCCAUCAUUUAAAGAAAGCGUAAUAGCUCACUGGUCGAGUCGGCCUGCGCGGAAGAUGUAACGGGGCUAAACCAUGCACCGAAGCUGCGGCAGCGACACUAUGUGUUGUUGGGUAGGGGAGCGUUCUGUAAGCCUGCGAAGGUGACCUGUGAGGGUUGCUGGAGGUAUCAGAAGUGCGAAUGCUGACAUAAGUAACGAUAAAGCGGGUGAAAAGCCCGCUCGCCGGAAGACCAAGGGUUCCUGUCCAACGUUAAUCGGGGCAGGGUGAGUCGACCCCUAAGGCGAGGCCGAAAGGCGUAGUCGAUGGGAAACAGGUUAAUAUUCCUGUACUUGGUGUUACUGCGAAGGGGGGACGGAGAAGGCUAUGUUAGCCGGGCGACGGUUGUCCCGGUUUAAGCAUGUAGGCUGGUUAUCCAGGCAAAUCCGGAUAAUCAAGGCUGAGGUGUGAUGACGAGGCACUACGGUGCUGAAGUAACAAAUGCCCUGCUUCCAGGAAAAGCCUCUAAGCAUCAGGUAACAUCAAAUCGUACCCCAAACCGACACAGGUGGUCAGGUAGAGAAUACCAAGGCGCUUGAGAGAACUCGGGUGAAGGAACUAGGCAAAAUGGUGCCGUAACUUCGGGAGAAGGCACGCUGGUGUGUAGGUGAAGUCCCUGCGGAUGGAGCUGAGACCAGUCGAAGAUACCAGCUGGCUGCAACUGUUUAUUAAAAACACAGCACUGUGCAAACACGAAAGUGGACGUAUACGGUGUGACGCCUGCCCGGUGCCGGAAGGUUAAUUGAUGGGGUUAUCCGUAAGGAGAAGCUCUUGAUCGAAGCCCCGGUAAACGGCGGCCGUAACUAUAACGGUCCUAAGGUAGCGAAAUUCCUUGUCGGGUAAGUUCCGACCUGCACGAAUGGCGUAAUGAUGGCCAGGCUGUCUCCACCCGAGACUCAGUGAAAUUGAACUCGCUGUGAAGAUGCAGUGUACCCGCGGCAAGACGGAAAGACCCCGUGAACCUUUACUAUAGCUUGACACUGAACAUUGAGCCUUGAUGUGUAGGAUAGGUGGGAGGCUUUGAAGCGUGGACGCCAGUCUGCGUGGAGCCAACCUUGAAAUACCACCCUUUAAUGUUUGAUGUUCUAACGUUGGCCCCUGACCGGGGUUGCGGACAGUGUCUGGUGGGUAGUUUGACUGGGGCGGUCUCCUCCCAAAGCGUAACGGAGGAGCACGAAGGUUAGCUAAUCCUGGUCGGACAUCAGGAGGUUAGUGCAAUGGCAUAAGCUAGCUUGACUGCGAGCGUGACGGCGCGAGCAGGUGCGAAAGCAGGUCAUAGUGAUCCGGUGGUUCUGAAUGGAAGGGCCAUCGCUCAACGGAUAAAAGGUACUCCGGGGAUAACAGGCUGAUACCGCCCAAGAGUUCAUAUCGACGGCGGUGUUUGGCACCUCGAUGUCGGCUCAUCACAUCCUGGGGCUGAAGUAGGUCCCAAGGGUAUGGCUGUUCGCCAUUUAAAGUGGUACGCGAGCUGGGUUUAGAACGUCGUGAGACAGUUCGGUCCCUAUCUGCCGUGGGCGCUGGAGAAUUGAGGGGGGCUGCUCCUAGUACGAGAGGACCGGAGUGGACGCAUCACUGGUGUUCGGGUUGUCAUGCCAAUGGCACUGCCCGGUAGCUAAAUGCGGAAGAGAUAAGUGCUGAAAGCAUCUAAGCACGAAACUUGCCCCGAGAUGAGUUCUCCCUGAGACUUUAAGUCUCCUGAAGGAACGUUGAAGACGACGACGUUGAUAGGCCGGGUGUGUAAGCGCAGCGAUGCGUUGAGCUAACCGGUACUAAUGAACCGUGAGGCUUAACCUU
rnacentral:rRNA from 2 species